UGCCAGCCGCCGCGGUAAUACGUGAGCCCCAAGCGUUAUCCGGAUUUAUUGGGCGUAAAGAGUUCGUAGGUGGUUUUAUUAGUCGUGUGUCAAAUCUUCAGGCUCAACCUGGAGGCUGCGCGCGAAACUGUAAAACUAGAGGAUAGGAGAGGCAGAUGGAAUUGCUGGUGUAGCGGUAAAAUGCGUUAAUAUCAGCAAGAACACCAAAGGCGAAGGCAAUCUGCUGGAAUAUUCCUGACACUGAGGAACGAAAGCGUGGGUAGCGAAUGGGAUUAGAUA
rnacentral:rRNA from 1 species